rnacentral:rRNA from 1 species
UACAGAGGUCUCAAGCGUUGUUCGGAUUCAUUGGGCGUAAAGGGUGCGUAGGCGGCGCGGUAAGUCGGGUGUGAAAUCUCGGAGCUUAACUCCGAAACUGCAUUCGAUACUGCCGUGCUUGAGGACUGGAGAGGAGACUGGAAUUUACGGUGUAGCGGUGAAAUGCGUAGAUAUCGUAAGGAAGACCAGUGGCGAAGGCGGGUCUCUGGACAGUUCCUGACGCUGAUGCACGAAGGCCAGGGAGCAAACGGG